rnacentral:tRNA from 1 species
AUCUAAAGUGGCAGAAAAAUGCGUUAGGUUUAAGCCCUAAUAAUGAGGUAACCCUCCUUAGAUA